UACCUUGUUACGACUUCACCCCAAUCAUCUAUCCCACCUUCGGCGGCUGGCUCCUUGCGGUUACCCCACCGACUUCGGGUGUUAUAAACUCUCGUGGUGUGACGGGCGGUGUGUACAAGACCCGGGAACGUAUUCACCGCGGCAUGCUGAUCCGCGAUUACUAGCAAUUCCGACUUCAUGUAGGCGAGUUGCAGCCUACAAUCCGAACUGAGACCGGCUUUUUAGGAUUAGCUCCACCUCGCGGCUUCGCGGCCCGUUGUACCGGCCAUUGUAGUACGUGUGUAGCCCAGGUCAUAAGGGGCAUAAUGAUUUGACGUCAUCCCCACCUUCCUCCGGUUUGUCACCGGCAGUCACCUUAGAGUGCCCACCCGAAGUGCUGGCAACUAAGAUCAAGGGUUGCGCUCGUUGCGGGACUUAACCCAACAUCUCACGACACGAGCUGACGACAACCAUGCACCACCUGUCUUGAAUGUCCCGAAGGAAAGGUACAUCUCUGCACCGGUCAUUCAGAUGUCAAGACCUGGUAAGGUUCUUCGCGUUGCUUCGAAUUAAACCACAUACUCCACUGCUUGUGCGGGUCCCCGUCAAUUCCUUUGAGUUUCAGUCUUGCGACCGUACUCCCCAGGCGGAGUGCUUAAUGUGUUAACUUCGGCACCAAGGGUAUCGAAACCCCUAACACCUAGCACUCAUCGUUUACGGCGUGGACUACCAGGGUAUCUAAUCCUGUUUGCUCCCCACGCUUUCGCGCCUCAGCGUCAGUUACAGCCCAGAGAGUCGCCUUCGCCACUGGUGUUCCUCCACAUAUCUACGCAUUUCACCGCUACACGUGGAAUUCCACUCUCCUCUUCUGCACUCAAGUCACCCAGUUUCCAGUGCGAUCCGGGGUUGAGCCCCGGGAUUAAACACCAGACUUAAAUGACCGCCUGCGCGCGCUUUACGCCCAAUAAUUCCGGACAACGCUUGGUCCCUACGUAUUACCGCGGCUGCUGGCACGUAGUUAGCCGGACCUUAUAAAUAGUACCGUCAUUAAUUCUUCCUAUUCUUUCGAAGUUUACAUUCCGAAAAACUUCAUCCUUCACGCGGCGUUGCUGGGUCAGGGUUUCCCCCAUUGCCCAAAAUUCCCGACUGCUGCCUCCCGUAGGAGUCUGACCCGUUAUUCAGUGUCAGUGUGUCCGACCGUCCUCUUAGACCGGAUACAGAUCGUAGCCUUGGUAAGCCAUUACCUUACCAACUAGCUAAUCUGCCGCAAGCUCCUCCUCAAGCAAUAAAUCUUUAACAACUGUCACCUUGCGGUGCCGCUGCAUUAUGCGGUAUUAGCAUCGGUUUCCCGAUGUUAUUCCCCACUCGAGGGUAGAUUACUUACGUGUUACUCACCCGUGCGCCACUCUAUGCACUCCCCGAAGGGAGCUUUAAUCGUUCGACUUGCAUGUCUGAGGCACGCCGCCAGCGUUGAUUCUGAGCCAGGAUCAAACUCU
rnacentral:rRNA from 1 species